GGCUCAGGACGAACGCUGGCGGCGUGCUUAACACAUGCAAGUCGAACGAAGCACCUUGAUUUGAUUUCUUCGGAAUGAAAAAUUUGGUGACUGAGUGGCGGACGGGUGAGUAACGCGUGGGUAACCUGCCUCAUACAGGGGGAUAACAGUUAGAAAUGACUGCUAAUACCGCAUAAGACCACAGCACCGCAUGGUGCAGGGGUAAAAACUCCGGUGGUAUGAGAUGGACCCGCGUCUGAUUAGGUAGUUGGUGGGGUAACGGCCUACCAAGCCGACGAUCAGUAGCCGACCUGAGAGGGUGACCGGCCACAUUGGGACUGAGACACGGCCCAAACUCCUACGGGAGGCAGCAGUAGG
rnacentral:rRNA from 1 species